rnacentral:pre_miRNA from 1 species
UAUUGCAUCUAUAGACUGAGCUUUCCUUUUUAAUAUAAAGCCAGGCUUUGGAUGCACUAAAU